rnacentral:rRNA from 1 species
UACGUAGGUGGCAAGCGUUGUUCGGAUUUAUUGGGCUUAAAGGGUGCGUAGGCGGCUUAUUAAGUCAGUGGUGAAAUACUCUAGCUCAACUAGAGGGGUGCCAUUGAUACUGAUGAGCUUGAGUACAGAUGAGGUAGGCGGAAUUGACGGUGUAGCGGUGAAAUGCUUAGAUAUCGUCAAGAACACCUAUAGCGAAGGCAGCUUACUAGGCUGUAACUGACGCUGAGGCACGAAAGUGUGGGGAGCAAACAGG